rnacentral:rRNA from 1 species
UCUGUUUGAUCCUGGCUCAGGAUGAACGCUGGCGGCGUGCUUAACACAUGCAAGUCGAACGAACCUUCGGGUUAGUGGCGGACGGGUGAGUAACGCGUGGGAAUCUGCCCUCAGGAGGGGGAUAACGGCCGGAAACGGCCGCUAAUACCCCAUAUGCCGAGAGGUGAAAUGAAUUUCGCCUGAGGAUGAGCCCGCGUCUGAUUAGCUAGUUGGUGAGGUAAGAGCUCACCAAGGCAUCGAUCAGUAGCUGGUCUGAGAGGAUGAUCAGCCACACUGGGACUGAGACACGGCCCAGACUCCUACGGGAGGCAGCAGUGGGGAAUUUUCCGCAAUGGGCGAAAGCCUGACGGAGCAACGCCGCGUGAGGGAUGAAGGCCUCUGGGCUGUAAACCUCUUUUAUCAAGGAAGAAGAUCUGACGGUACUUGAUGAAUAAGCCACGGCUAAUUCCGUGCCAGCAGCCGCGGUAAUACGGGAGUGGCAAGCGUUAUCCGGAAUUAUUGGGCGUAAAGCGUCCGCAGGCGGCCCUACAAGUCUGCUGUUAAAAAGUGGAGCUUAACUCCAUCAUGGCAGUGGAAACUGUUGGGCUCGAGUGUGGUAGGGGCAGAGGGAAUUCCCGGUGUAGCGGUGAAAUGCGUAGAUAUCGGGAAGAACACCAGUGGCGAAGGCGCUCUGCUGGGCCAUCACUGACGCUCAUGGACGAAAGCCAGGGGAGCGAAAGGGAUUAGAUACCCCUGUAGUCCUGGCCGUAAACGAUGAACACUAGGUGUCGGGGGAAUCGACCCCUCCGGUGUCGUAGCCAACGCGUUAAGUGUUCCGCCUGGGGAGUACGCACGCAAGUGUGAAACUCAAAGGAAUUGACGGGGGCCCGCACAAGCGGUGGAGUAUGUGGUUUAAUUCGAUGCAACGCGAAGAACCUUACCAGGGUUUGACAUCCUGCGAAUCUCUUGGAAACUUGAGAGUGCCUUCGGGAGCGCAGUGACAGGUGGUGCAUGGCUGUCGUCAGCUCGUGUCGUGAGAUGUUGGGUUAAGUCCCGCAACGAGCGCAACCCACGUCUUUAGUUGCCAGCAUUUAGUUGGGCACUCUAGAGAGACCGCCGGUGAUAAACCGGAGGAAGGUGUGGAUGACGUCAAGUCAUCAUGCCCCUUACAUCCUGGGCUACACACGUACUACAAUGCUACGGACAAAGGGCAGCAAGUUCGCGAGGACAAGCAAAUCCCAUAAACCGUGGCUCAGUUCAGAUCGUAGGCUGCAACUCGCCUACGUGAAGGAGGAAUCGCUAGUAAUCGCAGGUCAGCAUACUGCGGUGAAUACGUUCCCGGGCCUUGUACACACCGCCCGUCACACCAUGGAAGUUGGCCACGCCCGAAGCCGUUACUCCAACCCUUGUGGAGGAGGACGUCGAAGGUGGGGCUGAUGACUGGGGUGAAGUCGUAACAAGGUAGCCGUCCCUAUAGUGAGAGAUC